GUCUAUGGCCACACCACCCUGAAUGCACCCAACCUCACUUGAUCUCAGAAGCUAAGCAGGGUUGGGCCUGGUCAGUACUUGGAAGGGAGAAAUAAACC
rnacentral:rRNA from 1 species